rnacentral:tRNA from 1 species
GGGCGAUUAACUCAGCGGUAGAGUGCCUCCUUUACACGGAGUAGGUCGGGGGUUCGAAUCCCUCAUCGCCCA